UCAACAUUGGAAACACAUUCAGCAGAAAGGGUGACUUCGGUGCUGCCAAGAAGAAUUACGACAUUGCCGAAAAACUUGGUCGUGACCACAUCAAGGCUGAGGCCGGAAACAGAGUUGAUGGUAUGGGCAUGGUCAUUGUUGCGAUGCGUGCUAGAGCGUUUGCUUUGAAGAAGGCAGGAAAGGAGGCCGAAGGAAAG
rnacentral:snRNA from 17 species